GAUGAAGAACGCAGUGAAAUGCGAUAAGUAAUGUGAAUUGCAGAAUUCAGUGAAUCAUCGAAUCUUUGAACGCACAUUGCGCCCGUCAGUAUUCUGGCGGGCAUGCCUGUUCGAGCGUCAUUACGCCCCUCAAGUCCCCUGUGGACUUGGUGUUGGGGAUCGGCGAGGCUGGUUUUCCAGCACAGCCGUCCCUUAAAUUAAUUGGCGGUCUCGCCGUGGCCCUCCUCUGCGCAGUAGUAAAACACUCGCAACAGGAGCCCGGCGCGGUCCACUGCCGAAAAACCCCCCAACUUUUUAUAGUUGACCUCGAAUCAGGUAGGACUACCCGCUGAACUUAAGCAUAUCAAUAAGCGGAGG
rnacentral:misc_RNA from 1 species